ACUGGUUGGCUGAGUCCUAUUCAGGCCAGAACGGUCUCAAAAAUAAGGCCACCUGUGGCUUCUCAGUCUGAGCCGCCACCGGAAAGGCCCACUGAGGUGAGAAAGAAGCUGGCAAGGCCAAUCACCAGAAGGUAUUCAGGCAGGGCAACCAUCACAGUUAGACGGACGGCUUGGGUCGUGGGCAGGCGGGAAGCCCUUGACCCAGUCCUCAAGGUCAAUGUCUUUGCAUGUCCUGUGCACGACUCCAAGCAGCAGUUUCUGGGGUCUGGGAAGUGUGUUGAUUUUGCGAUAUUUCCCCCCAAAAA